GCAGGAUUGCCAGAAUUUUGAAAAGGAUGCUACAUGUAGUGAGAUUGGCUUUUGUGGGAAUUCUUGCAGUGUUGCUUGGUUGAUUGGUUGGGCUUUGAUUUUGGGAUAUACAGUCGGUGGUUAGCUCUUGUGCUGCAUUAACAAUCUAUUCAAAUUCAAUAACUAUUGAGUGCACUUUGGUUGCUAUAGGUUCCUUCUUAUUACUUGGGAUUUUGAUUUAGAGCUACAUCAUUAUAUUGACUUACCAUAAGGAUUGCAAAUUUUUGUUGGACUUCUGUCACUUUGGAUUGAUUACAAGGGUUGAGAUGUGCUAACCCUUACUUAGAAUUUAAUUAUGCUAGGCGUUGCUCUUUAGCGGUCAGAACAACAUGCCUUCCUUUAUGGCACAUCAACAUAUACUUGGCGUCAUAGUUGACCCUUGUGCCGCAAUACUUGUGUUCCUUGUCACUGGGCUUCUAUGUGUUGGCAUCAAGGAGUAAACCUUGCAGAAUACAUUCACAUAAGUCAUCGUCACAUCGGGAAAUAUAUGUGCCUUGAUCUUUGUAAUAAUUUCCGGUGCCUAUCUUGAAUUCCAAAAUGGAUGGCCUGGAUAUGAGCUACUUGUAAGGUACUUCUUGUAUGGCGUGGACGGAAUGAUUGUUGGCUCUGCAAGAGUCUUCUUUGCAUAUUUUGGCUUUGGUUCAGUAGAAAGCAUCGCUGAGAAGAUAUGUCAUCACUGUUGGAGCAGUUACAACUAUCUGUUCAACAUUGAUGGGUUCAAUUCUUCCACAUGCAAGCCCUUUUCUUUGAGUGUUCUAUUUACAUGAUUCUUGAAGGAUAGGGGAAGUUUCCUUUUGUUCCAUUGUGUUAUAAGAUCUUUUGUUGGAAGUUUAUCUUUUGAUCAGCAAGUACAAUGCAUGUUUCUAAUAAAAAAUUGCAUUGUUUCAGCCGCGAAUUCUAAUGGCAAUGGCUAGAGAUGAUUUGUUCUCGUCCUUUUCUCAGAUGUUAGCAAAAAAACUCAGGGUCCUGCGAAAAAGAGCACUGUGACAACUGGAUUUGUUGUUGUACUAUUGGCGUUCUUUAUGGAUGUUUCACAAUUGGCAGGGAUGGUUUUUCUAAAAAGAAAAAAAAUUCACCGUCAUGGAUCUUUCAAACCCCGCUUCCGCCACCACCGCUGCUCUCACGCAGCCACUGUCGGCGCGUCACUCUGACUCCCCGCUACACCAACUGGCGCGUGACCAUACUCAUGCAACCCCUCGCUGCGAUUUUCUCGCAGCCCUUCGUGGCGCCUUU